GACGAACGCUGGCGGCGUGCCUAAUACAUGCAAGUAGAACGCACAGUUUAUACCGUAGCUUGCUACACCAUAGACUGUGAGUUGCGAACGGGUGAGUAACGCGUAGGUAACCUGCCUGGGAGCGGUGGAUAACUAUUGGGAACGAUAGCUAAUACCGCAUAAUAUUGAUUAUUGCAUGAUAAUUGAUUGAAAUAUGCUAUUGCAUCACUACCAGAUGGACCUGCGUUGUAUUAGCUAGUAGGUGAGGUAACGGCUCACCUAGGCGAAGAUACAUAGCCGACCCGGGAGGGGGAUCGGCCCACCUGGGACUGGGACACGGCCCAGACUCCCACGGGAGGCAGCAGUAGGGAAUCUUCGGCAAUGGACGAAAGUCUGACCGAGCCACGCCGGGUGAGUGAAGAAGGUUUUCGGAUCGUAAAGCUCUGUUGUAAGAGAAGAACGGGUGUGAGAGUGGAAAGUUCACACUGUGACGGUAUCUUAUCAGAAAGGGACGGCUAACUACGUG
rnacentral:rRNA from 1 species